CGGCUAGCUGGUCACAUAAGGCGUCCAUAGUCUUUCCCCCCAACUUUACAGCUGGAGAUUAUAGUGGUUGAAAUGACGCCAAAGCUCAGACCUCCCACUUCUGAGGUAAGUCAAAUGCAGCACAAAUCCCACUGACGCCAGGAGUAGCGGCCAGUCAAAUGGCAUUGUGGGGAAACUAGGAAACAGUUCAUUCGAUUAGAUGAAAUGAAACUUAAAUUCGAGCAGGUGGCUCGGAGUGGCGGUUUGUUUACUGGCUUAACAUAAUGAGCGCCGAUACAUUACGACAGUAUGCAAAUAUAAAUCACGAGUCGGUUAUAGUAUUGAGAACGGGUUGGAGUGCAUCCAGAGCCUAUCCUGUGAAGGUGGGAGACUUCAGCGCAGAUGGGAUGCCAGUCCAUCACAUGGCACAAUGCACACACACAUUCACACACCAAUGGGCAAUUUAGCGUAGCCAGGUUGCCUACCUACAUGUUUUUGGACAGCGGGAUGAAACUGGAGGAAACCCACAGGAAACCCACAGGAAACUGGGGUGAACAUGUGAAACUCCACAUAGACGGUAACCCAAGCUCGGGAUCAAACCAGGGACCCUGGAGCUGUAAGGCAGCAAUGCUACUCGCUGCACCACCGUGAAUUAGUUUUUGUGUUCUUGCUAAUUCAUGUUACACCGUAUAUCACAUUCAAAUAGCAACAUUUAUAUACUGUAAGAUCUUUUAUGCAGUAUUGUUACUACUUCUUGCAGUAAAUAAUAAUGAAUAAUGAGAUACAAGUGAAAAGGAAGCAGUCAAUAUCAAGAUCCAGACACUCUUCACAAUACACAGAGCUCUCCACCAAAAUCAUUUAUUUAUACACCACUUAAAAGAUGAGAAUUAUAACCAGAUGUAGUGAUAAUAUAUAAGGAGCAAAAAUCAGCAGUGGUGGCAGGCAAUCUGAGGAGGUGGUAAAUUCAAACUUGAAGGAAGGAGAAACAUCAGGACUCAAAGAAGAUCUUACAGAAAAAGGUGGAAGGUAAAGAUAUUCAGGGUCAUGGCCCCGAUUCUGAAAGAGGAGCGUAAACAGAUUCCUGAAAUAAAUAAACACUGGCGACAAUCUAGAAGAGAGCGAGUUCAGGAACGUGGACGCGGCCACGCCCGUACAGGCGAAGAAAGAGAGGGUGAAACUAUAGGUUUUCUAUACGGCUGUCCUCUUUCUUUCAGAGUGCGACGGAGAUAAACGACGCAGUUCCGCCGAGUCUCGACUCGGCUCGUUAGCAUUCUGACUAGCAUGAUGGUGCUAACAGCAGACCUAGCAUGAAACCUUAAGAAUUAGAACUUUCUCUGUUUGAGGAGGUGAGGGAGCUAGACAGCCUGAAGGACUAAAACACUGAUGCAUCUCUGUCUGAGAUGAAGCAAGAGCCAAUGUUGCGCUCGACUCAAUAUCAUAACUCGUAAGUUCUGACCGCCGACUAGGGGAAAAAAAAAAACGUCUCGGACGUUCGACUCAGAAUUCCUACUUGGGAACUCAGGAUGUGAGAUAGUGUAGUACAAAUUGCUGAAAAAAGUUAACUAUGAUGGAAAGAUGUCUGCUUGUUGUGUACGGGGCCGCGUAGCUGCAGACCGGUCAGUGUGCCCGUGCUGACCCCUGUCCGAAAGCACCUACAAUGGGCACGUGAACAUCAGAACUGGACCAUGGAGCAAUGGAAGAAGUAUUCCCUAACAGCACUGGCCUCUUUCAACACGAUAACGCUCCCUGACACACUGCAAAAAUUCAGGAAUGAUUUGAGGAACACGUUUGAGGAAGGUGUUGACUCGGCCUCCAAAUUCCCCAGAUCUCAAUCCGAUCGAGCGUCUGUGGGACAAACAAGUCCGAUCCAUGGAAGCCCCACCUCGCAUCUUACAGGACUUAAAGGAUCUGCUGCUGACGUCUUGGUGCCAGACACCACAGCACACCUUCAGAGGUCUUAUGGAGUCCAUGCGUCGACGGGUCGGAGCUAUCUGGGCAGCACAAGGGGGACCUACACAAAAUCAGGCACGUAGUGUUCAUGUUGAUGCUGAUCGGUGUACAUCACUCCUCACAGCUAGCUGGCUAGCUUGUUGGCAACAGAAAAUAAACACUGAGGCGUCCACGCUUUUCCCCAACUUCAAGGUAGAUCAAAUGCAGCAUAAAUCCCAGCGACGCCAGUUAAACGGCAUUGUGGGUAAUUUAGGAAUCCAUGAACCAAAGUGAAAAUAGAUCGACAUAUCGAAGAAAGACCAUCACAAAAUACAUUUCGGACGUCACCGAAGAUAACAUAAUACCCGAGCGCUUAAUGAAUAUGCUUUAUGAUGUGCAGAGAGUCGGAGGCCGAAAUUUACCAACGCCGACCGACAUUUGAGGAAAGAACACAGUCACAACGUCGAGAUCCCUCAGGUGGUAUUAACCAGUUUAAUUAACCCUGAUUACAUUUAAAAACAUCAGAAAUCAACAAACGUAAGGAGAAUUAAAAUGUUACAAUUUGUUAUUAAAACUCAACCUGUCAUUAAAAGCUGUGAAACCACAGAAAUAAAGAGAGAAGGAAGGUAAAGACAGAGAGAGAGAGAGAGAGAGAGAGAGCGAGCGAAAAAGACCAUUACACGAUAAAGCAAUACAGUUUCUUUUCAAAUUAUGUAAAUCCCACAAAUGAAAAAGAAACACGCAAGAUCAACAAAAGAGUAACGUUACAAAAUAACGAAUUACAUAACAUGACCAGAGUUAAAAAUCGUAUGCGUCCCCUCUACCUCCGUACACUAUCAUCUGUCUCCAUUAUAACGGCCUGAAAUAUAAUUACAGCUUUUUAGUUAUUUUACAACUUUAAAAAGGUUCAACUGUUACAUGUAUAACACAUCGGGUCGGGUUAACGGCAGGAGACUCCGCUCUCGGAUAGAUCACUCCUUUGACGGACCCAAACUCAGGACUAAAUGAGGAAAAAUAAACAAUAAAAAUGUCAAUAAUGAUAAUGAUCAGAAAACAGCAAAUUUGACGAUCAUAUGGGGGGGGAAAAAAAAAAAAAAAAAAAAAAAAAAAAAAAGGAUGAAAGAGAAAUUAACCUGCUUAAAAAUAUGUAGUCCUGCGCCAUGUCUCUCACAUAAAGCAAUGUCUUCCUCGGCGCAGCAGGUCCAGAGACCUAACAUCAUCAUUCAAUAGGUCAGCGAAAGAAGGCGGGGCUCCUGGGCAGGAUAAAGGAUUACGGGAUAGUUUUACUGGAGGAGUAAAGAGUAAGGCAACUGUCAGUCACAUGAAGAGGACGGGGGACGGAGGACGUCAGAAGCGUAGCCGUCGGGCUUGCCAGUUCUGUCGAAAGUUAAAUACUGUACAGUGUGAACGACAUGCCCGUAGGAUCUGUGCGUCUUCCCGAUGGCAGGAUGCAGACUCCGCCCUCGCCGAGUCAUGAUUGGCCAUCUCACGCGGUUUCUUCUCCGACGCUGUGCGCGAGUGUCCUCACAGCUGGGCUAAAGUUCACAGACCUUCAGGAGGUCCACUAUGCUGAACUCCGGACUGGUGGUUACCCAGGAGAUGGACAGACAGGGCAGACACACACUCACUCACUCACUCACUCAUUCUCACUCACACACACACUAGAACAGAAUGGCGGCACUUGCAUCAGGUAAAGUUCAGAGCUCUGCUUCUAUCCAAUGCUUGGUGUGAUUUUGUCUUUCACUAUUUGUGUAUUUAAAAAAAAUAAUCUUUAAAAAAAAAAAAAAAAAAAAAAAAAUCAAAAAAAAAUCAUACAUGUAUAAAAAAUUAACCAAAA
ensembl:lncRNA